rnacentral:lncRNA from 1 species
AUAUAUAUAUAUAUACAUGUAUUCUAAACUACACUUUGCUUACAUGUCACCUCACAAAUGUCCCUUUUCUAACUUAUUUUCUUUAAGCAUUCACCAUGUGGCUCUCUCUUUUCUUUUUCUCCUUUUUUUCAUCUAUUUACUAAAUAUUUACAUAUAUUCAUUCUUAUAUUUAUUAUGUAACUUGCCAAUUGAGCUUUGUAGUAACUGUCAAUUUCCUCAUGUAUUUGUCUUAAUUCUCCACUUAAGUUGAACAUAAAUCAACAUUUACUACCUUUUUCUUUGGAAAGUUACUCAUUAACGGUUUUGUUAUGAAAAUUGUAAAGAUCACUUUUUAUUCUUAUUCAUUCAUGACUUUUCAUUUGCAUAUUUGGUUUUAAUAAGUGUAUCCUUUUAAAACUCUUAGCCUUUCAAUUCAAUAAUAAUAAUAAUAAUUAAAAACUGUUACGUUAAUUAUUAAUUAUAUUAUAUAUAGGUCUUAUAUAUGUACAACCCCUUGGUGCACAUGUGAGUUUGAGAUUUCAAUCUGAGUGGAUUCUAUCUAUUGCACAUGAAGAAGUCUUACCAUUCUUUGUCACGAUAGGUAAGCAAGCACAAAUAAAGUCCUUCAUAUUGUCAGAUUUCUGUUUCUUGGUAAGACUUUAGUGGUUCAUAUAACUUAUUACUAUAUUUUGUUAUUCCUUCAUCGUCAAUUACUUUAGUUCCUGAAAUUGAAUUGUUUGCAUAUGGUAUAAACUUUGUUGUACACCAGUCUUAAUUUGUUUGAUAUAGUUGGUAUAAAAUUUGUUUGAUAUAUUGGUGGGAAGAAGUUUGGUUACAUUGUUAAGAAUGAUGCAGAUAAAUUGUUUGGAUGGCUCAUAGAGGUUGGUGAUGAAGUGGGAGCUGUCGAUAGCCAUGGAUGGCAAGGGUGGCAGCUAGGGUUAGGAGCGACGUCCUAAAUUAGAAGAGGGGGAGCUGAACCGUUUCAAACUGAUACCAUAUAGAAAGAUGAAUUGUAAAAUGAAAUUGUUAAUUUCUAUUAGUUUGAGUUGUGUAUAUAUACAGAUUAACAUUAUAUCUUUGUAAAAGAAACUUGAGUUGUUCUCAUGUAAGCUUUGUGAUGAUGUGACACUCUAAAAAAACUUUCUAUCAUCUCUCAAAUCUUUAUCUAUCUAUCUAUCUAUCUAUAAUAUACUAAUAAUAAAACUCCCACCCUUUCGUAUUCUAUUGAAACAUUUUCUUUUCCUAACUAUAUCUAUUCUUGAUUUUUGACAUUGCCAUCGGUUGCAAGAACAAUUCAUCAACUUCAUGUGAAACAACUUUCAUAAUAAAUGCAUUAUAUGUCCAUUUAAUUAAAAUGAUCGGUUACAUUUCAAAAUUAUUCCUACUCUAUCCAUUUUUUGCCUAUAAAGAAAAUUCCAUUUAUAGUUUAUUAGGCAAAUUUUACGAAGCUUCUAUGUAUAUAUAUUUGUAACUUAUUUUGUCUCUUCCAUUCCUUCAAUUUCAUUUUUUUGAUAGUUUUCAUUUUUCUCUUCCAACUUCAUGUGCAUUUCCUUCUAAUAUUUUGUUAUCUAAUGGAUAUCCUUUCUUUGUAGGGUUUUGGAAAAAGGAGAGUUUGAUUGAAACAACAUUUCUUAUGUGAAAAGGUGAUUAUCUUUACUUUAAUAUUGAAGUUUUUCUCUUUAUUAUCUUUGUUAGACGCUGUAUCACUAAUCUUUUGAUUUUUAUGUUGAACUAUUUUUGCUGAUUUAGUAGUAUGGUGGAAGGUUAUAUUUAUCACGGAAUUUUUUGUUUAUAUUUGGAAUUACUUCAACGAAAUUAUAUCUAUUUUUUUUUGUCAUUCUCCUAUUUCUGUUUUUUUUUCCACAGUCUAUGAUAUAGUUGUAUAUUUCACUCCAUAGAUAUUCAUUAUUAUUCCUCUUAACACAUCAUUAUCUAUCUACCUAUCUAUCUAAACUAUAUAUUGUUAGUUAAACUGAAAUUAAGAUAGUAGUUAAAAUUGUUUAUAAUAUAGAUAAA